GCCCGCUCAGAAACUUAAAGGAAUUGACGGGGGCCCGCACAAGCGGAGGAACAUGUGGUUAAUUCGAUGCAACGCGAAGAACCUUACCUGGUCUUGACAUCCCGGAGACCCUUAGGAAACUAGGGGGUGCUUCCAUCUGGAAGAAUCUGGAGACAGGUGCUGCAUGGCUGUCGUCAGCUCGUGUCGUGAGAUGUUGGGUUAAGUCCCGCAACGAGCGCAACCCUUGCCUUUAGUUGCCAGCAGUUCGGCUGGGCACUCUAAAGGGACUGCCGGUGUUAAACCGGAGGAAGGUGGGGAUGACGUCAAGUCCUCAUGGCCUUUAUGACCAGGGCUACACACGUACUACAAUGGCCGAUACAAAGGGCAGCGACACUGCGAGGUGAAGCCAAUCCCGUAAAAUCGGUCUCAGUCCGGAUUGGAGUCUGCAACUCGACUCCAUGAAGUUGGAAUCGCUAGUAAUCGUGGAUCAGCAUGCCACGGUGAAUACGUUCCCGGGCCUU
rnacentral:rRNA from 1 species